CAUUCCAGGAUCCUUUGGCAUCUGCUUCACUUCAUUGUUCUCUCAUUUUUCAUUUUUUCACAUAGACUAGGCUAAUUAACUGCAGCAUUACGGGAAAAGAUCAUUGUAAGGAACCCGACCUAUGACUCAGUUGCCUCACUACCCUUUUCAUGCAUGGUGACAUCUCACAUGGGGACAUCGUCUGUCUUCAAAUGGACCUCCAGGGACCCUGAAAUUUGCUUCCUGCCACUAAGAUUUAGCAAAAAUUAAAGGAAAUAGAAUUUCUACAUAUGAGUCUCCUCGAAUUCGGAAGCCAAGGAAAUAUUUUCUACCAUUGCUAGAGACAGACUGAAGAGAACCCUACUCUGAACAACCAGAUUUUUGUGAAGAAUGUGGAGCAACAUUGGAUAACAAUUACCUUUCAGGAGAUAUGUCCAAGGACUCCUCACUGCCUUCUAGGUCAUUGUCUUAUCAGAGGUAGAUGUAAAAUUUAACAAAUUAGGGCUGAAUUGUGAGCUUUGGUAAAUAUGCUUGGUAUUGAUACUCAGGGGUAUUAGUGCUGCUUUAAAUUCUGCAUUCUUAGCUCUUAUCUCUUGCCCAUUCUUUUUAUGUGACCUGAUCUCAGUCUGUCUGAAUAUCUCUUUUUCUUUCUCUCUCUUUCUCUUCUCAAUAGACCUUAAAUAAUUAAAAACAUGGUGUAACAUGAAACCCAUUAUUUUUAAUAGUUUUUUUUCGCCCUUUUGUGGUAGAUCUUUAGUGGAGGAAAGAGUAGUUAGGGCCAGCUCUAACAGUACACCUGUUACCCUUAUUAGUCAGGGCAUGAUUUAUAUUUUAGAUAUUCCUAAGGAUAAAAAUUACAUAAUUCCCAAACUAUCAGCUUUAGCUCACUUGAUCAGGAGAUUGACUAGAGAGAUGAACUUGGAGGAGAAUUCUGUAGUAAUUUGAGGUUCCUUGAUCAGAUACAUUUGCUAACUGUGUUGAGAGAUCAGCCCAGGCUCUCAAAUGACAAAACAUAAGAAUUGGUGAAGAAUUUUUAUAAAAAUUUGAUUAUCUAUCAAAAAGUAAAAUAACCUCUGAGAAUUAUAACCUGUACCUACCCUGGUAUUUUAAAUACUUGAUGGACAUCUUUGUUCAUUAUUGCAUGGACAAGUGUUUUUCAUAGUUGAUUUAUGUGAGGGACAGAAAUAAUUUAUUUAAAUACCCCAAAGAAGUCAUAAUAGGCUUUCAAACCUAUAAUGGGUUGUCAAGAAAAAUAGGUUACUAAUAAUCUACAAUUAAACAGUGCAAUAAGAAAAGGCAGAGUUAAAAAAGACUUUAAACAUGGGCAUUGCCCAACAAUAUAUUCUACCUAAAGCUAAAUGACCAUCAGGCAUGGAUACUGCACAGUAUAGUCUCACACUGGUUGGGAGGCUGUAUUAGAAGAUGUUUACUCAGUUUGCUUAACACUGUCUGAUAAAGUUUCCAAAUUCCUUGCCAUUUGCUGUGGACAAGCUUGGACAAUGCAAUGUUCAAAAUUGAAUAUAAUAUUGUAGAUAUGCUCUGGCUAGGGAAGAAUACAAAAUUACUAAUAUACAAAUGAUCUUUUAUUAAAGUACUCCAAAAUUAUGUU